rnacentral:misc_RNA from 1 species
CUCGAUCCGUGAAACAGGAUUAAUCAGGCCGCCUGGCCGGAUUCCUUCGCCUUUACAGACGGCUCCGGCUGCGAUGCGCGAGGAUGCGAAACGAGCACACCUGCCUCUGCCAGACGCCGACUCGGGGAUGCCGAGUUCGCUGAACACCGCAUAGUUGUGCUCACCCUGGAAAGCCGGUGUUCCGAUCGGCGUCAGCUCAUCGCCGGAGAAAUGCCACGGCCGGCCCGGCAGACGAUAU